rnacentral:rRNA from 1 species
GACGAACGCUGGCGGCGUGCUUAACACAUGCAAGUCGAGCGGAAAGGCCCUUCGGGGUACUCGAGCGGCGAACGGGUGAGUAACACGUGAGUAACCUGCCCCAGACUUUGGGAUAACCCUCGGAAACGGGGGCUAAUACCGGAUACGACACAGCUUCGCAUGGGGUCUGUGUGGAAAGUUUUUCGGUUUGGGAUGGGCUCGCGGCCUAUCAGCUUGUUGGUGGGGUGAUGGCCUACCAAGGCGACGACGGGUAGCCGGCCCGAGAGGGCGACCGGCCACACUGGGACUGAGACACGGCCCAGACUCCUACGGGAGGCAGCAGUGGGGAAUAUUGCACAAUGGGCGGAAGCCUGAUGCAGCGACGCCGCGUGAGGGAUGACGGCCUUCGGGUUGUAAACCUCUUUCUGCAGGGACGAAGCGUAAGUGACGGUACCUGCAGAAGAAGCGCCGGCCAACUACGUG